rnacentral:lncRNA from 1 species
UUCAUUUUGCUCAAUCCUUACGUUUAAACGCAAAAGGCCGAUUUCACUAUACUUGGAAUUGAAGAGUUCAAAUUGAAGAUAUUGGUCCUACAAAAGUUGUCAAUUAGCAGAUAAGUUGUCAAUAUCAUGGUUGUCAAUUGACUAGACAUCGAUUUACAAGUUCAUUAUUGACUCCGAGACUAGUAAUCGAUUACUCAUCAAUCGUUUGCUGUUUUGGUCGACUUUUGUUUGUUGUUUUGAUCUCUUCCAUGGUUGUCAAUCGACUAGAUGUCGAUUUACAAAUUAAUUAUUGACUCCAAGACUAGUAAUCGAUUACCUAGCAAUUGAUGGCUGUUCUAGUCGACUUUUGC